rnacentral:misc_RNA from 1 species
GAUGAAGAACGCAGCGAAAUGCGUUAAGUAAUGUGAAUUGCAGAAUUCAGUGAAUCAUCGAAUCUUUGAACGCACAUUGCGCCCCCCAGUAUUCUGGCGGGCAUGCCUGUUCGAGCGUCAUUUCAACCAUCAAGCCCUGCUUGUGUUGGGGUCCUGCGGCUGCCCGCAGGCCCUGAAAACCAGUGGCGGGCUCGCUAGUCACACCGAGCGCAGUAGCACAUCUCGCUCAGGGCGUGCGGCGGGCUCCAGCCGUUAAAGCACCCACCUUUCGCAAGGUUGACCUCGGAUCAGGUAGGAAUACCCGCUGAACUUAAGCAUAUCAAUAAGCGGAGGA